GUCGGUGGCCAUACCACCUUCAGUUUUGACUAGGUAAUCUGUCAGAAGCUAUGCAGGUUUGUGCCUGAUCAGUACUUAUAUGGGAGACCAACUAGGAAAGCUGGUUGAUGUGGACA
rnacentral:rRNA from 1 species